CAAACAAUUGGAACAAAUAUAAUAACCAAAGAUCAUCAUCAUCAAAACUAUACAAACACGAGAUGUUUUAAAUACAAUCAGCUAAAACUUCACUCAAAAUUCGGAAAUGUGAUGCUCAUGAUAAAGCAGAAUAUCUUAUGGAAGCUUGCAGUAGCUCUUGGGGGAGCAAUCCCACCUAAAGCUAUUUCUCUACUCACCAAAAAGAAAAAAAACAAAUAGCUCAUAUCCACGUUUCAAUUUUAAUUGCUCUAGAUUUUCCUAGGUUCCUCUCUCUUAUUUCGAUCCAAACCAGACUUGGUAUUGUUUUGAUAGUACAAAUUGGACCUACCCAUUUAGACUUUGCAUAAACCGACAACCAGAUAUAUCAUUACCUUUCUUUUCAUCCAAAUAUGAAGCUCAUUUUCAUGUACGACAACCUAUCAUCACUCUUAAAUAUCAAUUUGGGCAGACCAUUCAGGCGGUGACUUUCAGGUCAACGACGGUGGAGAGGACGAGGGUCACCGCCGUUCCGCAAUCUGUUCGCUUGUCGAAGCCCAAUCAAAGCCUGAUUAUGGAAUGUUGAUUCAAUGAAUCAUCAGAAAACAAAUCAGUGACGUUUGCAAAGUAGAAUUAUUGGGUUUUAUUUAUCAUUGUG
rnacentral:lncRNA from 1 species